AGAGUUUGAUCAUGGCUCAGAUUGAACGCUGGCGGCAGGCCUAACACAUGCAAGUCGAACGGUAACAGGAAACAGCUUGCUGUUUCGCUGACGAGUGGCGGACGGGUGAGUAAUGUCUGGGAAACUGCCUGAUGGAGGGGGAUAACUACUGGAAACGGUAGCUAAUACCGCAUAACGUCGCAAGACCAAAGAGGGGGACCUUCGGGCCUCUUGCCAUCAGAUGUGCCCAGAUGGGAUUAGCUAGUAGGUGGGGUAACGGCUCACCUAGGCGACGAUCCCUAGCUGGUCUGAGAGGAUGACCAGCCACACUGGAACUGAGACACGGUCCAGACUCCUACGGGAGGCAGCAGUGGGGAAUAUUGCACAAUGGGCGCAAGCCUGAUGCAGCCAUGCCGCGUGUAUGAAGAAGGCCUUCGGGUUGUAAAGUACUUUCAGCGGGGAGGAAGGGAGUAAAGUUAAUACCUUUGCUCAUUGACGUUACCCGCAGAAGAAGCACCGGCUAACUCCGUGCCAGCAGCCGCGGUAAUACGGAGGGUGCAAGCGUUAAUCGGAAUUACUGGGCGUAAAGCGCACGCAGGCGGUUUGUUAAGUCAGAUGUGAAAUCCCCGGGCUCAACCUGGGAACUGCAUCUGAUACUGGCAAGCUUGAGUCUCGUAGAGGGGGGUAGAAUUCCAGGUGUAGCGGUGAAAUGCGUAGAGAUCUGGAGGAAUACCGGUGGCGAAGGCGGCCCCCUGGACGAAGACUGACGCUCAGGUGCGAAAGCGUGGGGAGCAAACAGGAUUAGAUACCCUGGUAGUCCACGCCGUAAACGAUGUCGACUUGGAGGUUGUGCCCUUGAGGCGUGGCUUCCGGAGCUAACGCGUUAAGUCGACCGCCUGGGGAGUACGGCCGCAAGGUUAAAACUCAAAUGAAUUGACGGGGGCCCGCACAAGCGGUGGGGCAUGUGGUUUAAUUCGAUGCAACGCGAAGAACCUUACCUGGUCUUGACAUCCACGGAAGUUUUCAGAGAUGAGAAUGUGCCUCCGGGAACCGUGAGACAGGUGCUGCAUGGCUGUCGUCAGCUCGUGUUGUGAAAUGUUGGGUUAAGUCCCGCAACGAGCGCAACCCUUAUCCUUUGUUGCCAGCGGUCCGGCCGGGAACUCAAAGGAGACUGCCAGUGAUAAACUGGAGGAAGGUGGGGAUGACGUCAAGUCAUCAUGGCCCUUACGACCAGGGCUACACACGUGCUACAAUGGCGCAUACAAAGAGAAGCGACCUCGCGAGAGCAAGCGGACCUCAUAAAGUGCGUCGUAGUCCGGAUUGGAGUCUGCAACUCGACUCCAUGAAGUCGGAAUCGCUAGUAAUCGUGGAUCAGAAUGCCACGGUGAAUACGUUCCCGGGCCUUGUACACACCGCCCGUCACACCAUGGGAGUGGGUUGCAAAAGAAGUAGGUAGCUUAACCUUCGGGAGGGCGCUUACCACUUUGUGAUUCAUGACUGGGGUGAAGUCGUAACAAGGUAACCGUAGGGGGACCUGCGGUUG
rnacentral:rRNA from 1 species